ACCCACUGAGGAAGGCCAGGGAUCAAGCCUGCAACCUCACAGAUACUGGUCGGAUUUGUAACCCUCCAAGCCACAAUGGGAAGUCCCAAGAAUGUACAUUCUUAAGUAUUAUAUAAGAACAAUGUCAAAACAUUCAAAACAGGAUUAGUGCAAAUAUAUUUAGAUACUGAUUAGAUAAAUACAUAUUAUAAUAAGAUCAAAUUUGUUGAAACAUGGGAUCCAAGUGAAAAAAAUGAUAUCAAAAGUCUAUUGCGAUGAAAGAGGACUAAAAACCAGAAGGGGACAGAAUAACUUGGGGAUAUUGUGGAUAUAGUUUCUUAAAUGCUAACCUCAAGAAGUACAAAGUACCUUAAAAUAUUCACCCUAUGUAUUUCAAAAGUAGAGCUGAAUAGUACACUUUUCCUAAUUGCUCCUUUUUGCAGGCCUCUGAGUCUUCAUAUAGAUUUCUAAUCUGCUUUCUUGGUAAAUCAAGUUAUAAAAGACCUUUAGAGUAAUGCUCAACAAUCAGGACUAAAAUGAGAGAAUAAAUUCAAAUACCACUAGACGAAUAGGGAAUAUUGCUGACAUAAGUUGUUAAUAAUGAAAAUACUGACCAGCAAAGAAACUCACUGAUGUAGGAUCUGUCUGAAAGCAUAUUGAUUCUUGAGUACAUUAAUCCCUUAUAGAGAGGAAUUAAUGUCAAGGAAUGAGUCAUGGGCCAAAAUAUAAGAUACUUUCAAAUGUGUUUUCAGAUCUUACAGUGUGCUCAUCUGUGGCAACCCCUGGUUGUUAAACAAUUCAGAUGCUUUCUGUAACCCGAUCCUGUGAUGCAUCGGGGAGAAGAAAAUACUUUUGGAAGCAACUUUGUUUCUCAUCACCAUUUCAGGGCAGCAAAGUACCAGUUAAUACUUUGGGAAGGAGUAAUUUAUCAUUUUCUAUAAGGAUGCCUUAAAAGAGGAACACACAUGCCAUUCGUUUUACCAGGCACUGUUCAUUUAUAUUGUUAUAUGAAUAUAUGUUUCACUGAACAACAACCAAAUUAGGCAGCUGUUAUUAUUUUUAUUUUGUAAGUGUGAAAAAUUAGUUCUAGAAAUGUAAAAUAAUUUUAUGAAUGCCAUACAUCUUUUAAGAUACAGAUCAAAGAUUCAAACUCAAAGAUCCUUGUUGCAAAUGUCUGCAUUUCACUAUUCAGUUAUUGCCCCUGGUUAUUUAUCAGUGGUAUAAAGAUGACCAAAACAAAUACUAUCCUAGAAAAUUCAAUUUGGUUGGUCACCACUCAUAUUGUUUUAAAGUACUAUCUAUAAAGUAUUAUUGGGGAUUUCCAUCUCCAGUAAUAUGGAAUAGAUGUACUUUUACCUAUUCUUUCUACAAAGCGUAGCUAAAACCCUGGACAUUAUAUAAAACAGAAGUAAGAAGACUCUGAAAGGAGAAAAGAAGUAAGCAGACUAGCUAAGGAUCUUGAAAACUGAGCAGUGGAAAGGCAGUGACUUUGGUGGGCUUUCUUUUCCCCUUAUUUCCCAAAAUGUUGAGUUUUCAGAUUGGGUGCUGGAAAAACUGGCAAACCAGAUAUGCCAACAAGAAUAGAGUAAAAAGAUUCAAGAAAAGUUCUAUUCUCCCUAGUAAAAGAGCCAGGAAAGGGGCAACCUCGCAAGACAGAAACACUCUACCUUAGCCAAACACAUAGAAAACACUAUGCAGCUACCCCCAAGGUACAAAGGCUACAUGGGGAAGCUAGACUUCCACUUCUGCCAGUCUGUAAUGAAAUACCCUAAACCCUCUAUGAGGUGCUGUUAGAGAAGCGCAAGUGAGAAGCUGGACUUUCACUCUAGCCAGAGGUAGGAGGACCCAUACCCCUUCGUGUCAGUGAAGACCACAUGAGUAGCAUGGACUUCUAUCUCAACCAGUGGUAAUGAGGCAUCACCCACACUUCCUGGUGGGGUGAUGUCCAAGGAGGCCCAGUGGAGAGUCAGGAUUUUCACUGUAAUCCAGGUAAUGAGACCACCCUCCCAUGGGUCGUCAGAAGCCAUUCAGAGAGCAGUAAGGAAACACUCCUGCCUUUCUCAGACAAGGUAGUGUUAAUGGAGUACUGGUGGGAAAUAGGGACCUCCAUCUAUCUCAGCAGACAAUAACUAGGAAGUAAACCACACUCCCCCAACAGGAACAUUGUCAGAGAAGUCCUGCUCUAACAGAGUAUUGAAAUGAGAUUCAGAGUUUCAUAUAUCUAAAUGUCCAGAUUUCAAUGGAAAAUUCCUUGUCAUAUCAAUAACCAGGACAAUUCAACUUGAAUGUGAAAAGACAAUCAACAGAUGCCAAAAUUGAAAUGACACAGAUAUUAUAAUUCUCUGACAAGCAUUUUAAAGCAGCAAUCAUGAAAAGUUUUGAUGAGCAAUGUACAUAUGUUUGAAACAAAUGGAAAAUUAAGUCUCAGCAAAUAAAUAGAUCCAAAGAAGAAACAAAUGAAAAUGUUAGAAUUAAAAAAUGCAGUAACCAAAAAAGUGGAUGGGCUCAACAACAGAAUGGCGAGGACAGAGGAGAGAAUCAGUGAACUUCAAAACAGAACAAUAGAACAGUAUGAACAACAGAGAGCAAAUAGACUGAAAGGAAAUUAAACAGAGUCUCAGCGACCUGUGGGGCUCUUAGCAAAGAUCACAUUCAUGUCCUGGAGUCCUAGAAGGAGAAGAGGAAGAGAGAGGGAGGGGAUGAAAAAGCAUUUAAAAAUAAUGGAUGAAAAAAAAAAAUAAUGGAUGAAAACUUCCUCAAGAAGUGGUUGAACUCCUAACAAAAUAUACCCAAAUAAAUCCAUGCCAAAGACAUAGUCAAAACUAAAAACAAAGAAAGAAAUCUUGUUUCUUACCUACAGGGGAGAAACAGUUUGAAUGGAAAUGAAUUUCUCAUCCAGACCAGGAGGAUGGGAAGGAAGUGGCACAUUUUUAAGUACUGAUGUGAAAGAACUGUCAAACCAGAAAUCUGUAUCAAAUGAAAAUAUCUUCAAGUGAAGGGGAAAUCAAGACAUUCUUAGACGAAGGAAAACUAAGAGAAUUUGUUACUACCCUAAAUAAUGGCUAAAGGAAGGAAUCCUGAAGAAUCAUAAAGAAGAAAGAUGAAAGGUAACAACAAAAAUGAGAGUGACUGCUAUUGGAAAAUUUCGUUCUAAACUUGCUGAUAAGGAAUUUGAAAUUGCUCAUGAGAGUGACUGCUAUUGGAAAAUUUCGUUCUAAACUUGCUGAUAAGUAAGUAUAAUCUCAGGUUAACGACUCUCCAGCAUUUGGAUGCAUUUGACACUGAUGAAGAGAAAAUUUUGUCCUUACAUAAAUCAGUUACAUAACAAUAUGUUCUAUCCCUAGGAUGUUUAAGAGCUUUACAACAUCAGCCUGUUUCACUGUUGUCAAAAGGAGAAAGCAGAGUGACAGAUCAACAGCUGUGGCUUCACCCAGGAUUAUGAUGGGCAAGAAGGAACUCAGACUCCACUUCGGACUUAUGAAUAAGGAAACAAACUCUACAGGUGAAUUAUAUGCACAUAAAAGUUUAACAAAGUGUUCUAAAGUACCAUCACCUCCUUGAAGACAGCCCACAAUAUACUCUCAAUGAAUAUUAGUUGAGUCUCAUCUUAAUACCCAAGCAACAUAGCUUCUGUAAAGUCAUAAACCAGUUUCUGGAUUUAAAAACAAUAAAGCACUUGCUGAUCUAUAAGCAAAAUAUAAAUGGAAAUAGAAUGUAUAGGACAUAAUUUGUCAAAAUGCUCCAUUUAAUGUCAAUUAUAUAUAAAGAAAUAAAAUGUACGAAAGAGA